UGUACUUUUCCCACAUGGACAGUGUUAAUAUUUUCCUGUGAAGAGUCUUCUACAGUCUGUGCCUAAGCCCGCCUCAGUUGGUCGGAACGAGAAGCCAGAAUUUCGAUCAGGCAGCCCUCAUCUGUCCCGGCACCCUAAACGCAGAACAGAGAAUCAGGAUGAAAGCAGCUUUCAAUCUACCAGCAAACAGAGGCACCGUGAUGGCAACACAGGAUGGAGACUCUCUUGAGUAAUAGUCCAGGAUCCGAUGGGCACACCCCCAUCUGGGUUCCAUAGUUAUUGCAGACAUAUACAAUAUUGACCACGACAGCUUGAAAGGAAAAGUUAACCGUGAUGAUAAGGCCUUAACUGGAGUACUGUGUCCAGUUCUGGGCUCCACAUUUCAAGAAAGAUGUGGACACACUGGAGAAAGUCCAAGGACGGCAACAGAAUUGAUUACAGGUCAGGAAAACAUGACCGAUGAGGAAAGAUUGACAAAACUGGGUUUGUUUAGUCUGCAGAAGAGAAGACUUGGUGGACUUAUGAUAACAGUUUUCAGGUACGUAAAAGAUUGUUACAAGGAGGAGGGUGAAAAAUUGUUCUCCUGCACCUCUGAGGAUAGAGCAAGAAGCAAUGGGCUUAAAUUGCAGAGAGGGAGAUUUUGGUUAGGAAGUUUUUUCUAAUGUCUAACUGUCUGGGUGGCAUUGGAAGCGAAGCAUUGGAACAAACUGCCUAGGGAGGUUGUGGAAUCUCCAUUAUUAGAGGUUUUAAAGAACAGGUUAGACAAACACUUCUCCAGAAUAGUCUAGUUAUUAUGUAGUCCUGCCUUGAGUGCAGGGGAUUGGACUAGGUGACCUAUUGAGGUCCCUUCCAGUCCUACGCUUCUAGGAUUCUAUGUUGUGACGUUCUCCAUUUCCCUCAUUCUAGACCUUACUUCCGUUCCAGACAAUCUUGACAUUCCCAUAUUUAUUAGUGUAAGCUAUCUAUUCUUGCACCCAUGUAUGAUCAUGACACUCAGUUUAUCAAGAGCUGGGGAGGUUAAAAAAAUUAAUUCCACAUCAUUUAAAAAAUUCUCCCCUUUUGGCUUUUUCUACAUGGACCAGAGACCCAGAAAGGUGUCCCUGGACAAUGACAAGUUGAGAGAUCAAUAUUUUCGGCCUCAGUUUUCCCAGAGUGUCCACUUACUUUGGGGGUCUCAGCUUCUGGGUACUCCAAUUGAGACAACUUCUCUCAAGGCCUGAUCUGAAAGGUGCUGAACGCCCAUAUCUCCAGUUAAUUUCAAUGAGAGGCAAGGGUGCUCGGCAGCUCUGAAAAUUAGGCACCAAAUAGAGCCUCAAUUUGGACAUUCAGGAACCCCCCCCACCCUUCCCAAAA